rnacentral:rRNA from 1 species
AUUGAACGCUGGUGGCAGGCUUAACACAUGCAAGUCGAACGGUAACAGGAAUUAGCUUGCUCAUUUGCUGACGAGUGGCGGGCGGGUGAGAAAUGCUUGGGAAUCUGGCUUAUGGAGGGGGAUAACUACGGGAAACUGUGGCUAUAACCGCGUAAAUACUUCGGAUUAAAGGGUGGGACUUUCGAGCCACUUUCCUGAAGAUGAGACCAAGUGGGGUUAGGUAGUUGGUUAGGUAAAGGCUGACCAAGCCGACGAUCUCUAGCUGGUCUGAGAGGAUGAUCAGCCACACUGGAACUGAGACACGGUCCAGACUCCUACGGGAGGCAGCAGUGGGGAAUAUUGCACAAUGGGGGGAACCCUGAUGCAGCCAUGCCGCGUGAAUGAAGAAGGCCUUCGGGUUGUAAAGUUCUUUCGGUGACGAGGAAGGUUGAUAGGUUAAUAUCCGAUCAAAUUGACGGUAAUCACAGAAGAAGCACCGGCUAACUCCGUG